rnacentral:lncRNA from 1 species
GGUACAAAACUGAUGUGCCUUGGCUUCCAAAGUUGUCCUCCUCCUCUGCUGUCAGGAGGCAGCGCGGUUCUUUGAGGCUUCAAGGCUCCAAGCAUCCGUGUCCUCUUUAAUUUCUUCCUCUUUGCCUUCAGGUUCCAGUCAGUGGAUUUGUCACAUGGAGCAUGGUUCUGAUCCCACUGCUUUGCGGCUCUGGGCUGCUUGGACUUUUGGAUAACGUAUAAACACCUUGCCUCUUCUGGCUACCAAAUCUCAUGUUAUAUUUAUUUAUUUAUUUAUUUAAAAUCUUU